GGAGGAGUCGCCUAAUGGCAGGGCAGGAGAUUGCUAAUCUCUAGCGGUGCUAAAAACACCGCUUGUGGGUUCGAAUCCCACCUCCUCCGCCA
rnacentral:tRNA from 1 species